GACGAACGCUGGCGGCGUGCCUAAUACAUGCAAGUAGAACGCUGAAGGAGGAGCUUGCUUCUCUGGAUGAGUUGCGAACGGGUGAGUAACGCGUAGGUAACCUGCCUGGUAGCGGGGGAUAACUAUUGGAAACGAUAGCUAAUACCGCAUAAGAGUAGAUGUUGCAUGACAUUUGCUUAAAAGGUGCAAUUGCAUCACUACCAGAUGGACCUGCGUUGUAUUAGCUAGUUGGUGGGGUAACGGCUUACCAAGGCGACGAUACAUAGCCGACCUGAGAGGGUGAUCGGCCACACUGGGACUGAGACACGGCCCAGACUCCUACGGGAGGCAGCAGUAGGGAAUCUUCGGCAAUGGACGGAAGUCUGACCGAGCAACGCCGCGUGAGUGAAGAAGGUUUUCGGAUCGUAAAGCUCUGUUGUAAGAGAAGAACGAGUGUGAGAGUGGAAAGUUCACACUGUGACGGUAGCUUAACAGAAAGGGACGGCUAACUACGUG
rnacentral:rRNA from 1 species